CUGCUCUUAGAGGCAUUGUAGACAAGCUACUGUGCCAAUGUUUGUAGAUGAAAAAGAGAGAGGCUAUGUUUACACUCAUAAUUCUGACUCUCUGAACAUAUGAAUGAUCUGUAGCCUAACACA
ensembl:snoRNA LOC120102709 small nucleolar RNA SNORA17